rnacentral:rRNA from 1 species
CCUACGGGAGGCAGCAGUGGGGAAUUUUGCGCAAUGGGGGAAACCCUGACGCAGCGACGCCGCGUGCAGGAUGACGGCCUUCGGGUUGUAAACUGCUGUCGUACGGGACGAAACCCCAACGUAUGAAUAAGACGUUGGUCUGACGGUACCGUGCAAGAAAGCCCCGGCUAACUCCGUGCCAGCAGCCGCGGU